AACGAACGCUGGCGGCAUGCCUAACACAUGCAAGUCGAACGAGACCUUCGGGUCUAGUGGCGCACGGGUGCGUAACGCGUGGGAACCUGCCCUUAGGUUCGGAUUAACUCCCCGAAAGGGGUGCUAAUACCGGAUAAUGUCUUCGGACCAAAGAUUUAUCGCCUUUGGAUGGGCCCGCGUUGGAUUAGCUAGUUGGUAGGGUAAAAGCCUACCAAGGCGACGAUCCAUAGCUAGUCUGAGAGGAUGAUCAGCCACACUGGGACUGAGACACGGCCCAGACUCCUACGGGAGGCAGCAGUGGGGAAUAUUGGACAAUGGGCGAAAGCCUGAUCCAGCAAUGCCGCGUGAGUGAUGAAGGCCUUAGGGUUGUAAAGCUCUUUUACCCGGGAUGAUAAUGACAGUACCGGGAGAAUAAGCUCCGGCUAACUCCGUG
rnacentral:rRNA from 1 species